GCCUGCAACCCAUGGAAGCUGUACCCUGGUGGUAAGGACUAGAGGUUAGAGGAGACCC
rfam:NS5=non-structural protein 5 [dengue virus type 1 DEN1, Genomic RNA, 553 nt].